UACAGAGGUGGCAAGCGUUGUUCGGAAUUACUGGGCGUAAAGCGCACGUAGGCGGACUAUUAAGUCAGGGGUGAAAUCCCGGGGCUCAACCCCGGAACUGCCUUUGAUACUGGUAGUCUCGAGUCCGGAAGAGGUGAGCGGAAUUCCGAGUGUAGAGGUGAAAUUCGUAGAUAUUCGGAGGAACACCAGUGGCGAAGGCGGCUCACUGGUCCGGUACUGACGCUGAGGUGCGAAAGCGUGGGGAGCAAACAGG
rnacentral:rRNA from 1 species